AGAUUCACCUCUCAAAAGGUUACAUAUGAUAAGACUGACAACUAAAGAACGAAAAUAGUGUCGGCGAGAUGAACCCGGUAUGCCACCAGUACAUUGUAACGCCAAGCGGUGUUAACUGUUGGUGAUACAAGCUCUAAUUAGAUUUACAUUUUCUUUGUUCCGUGACUUCUAAAUACCAUGUUGUGACAAUACAUUGCCUAUGUAUGAUUAUCUUAGCGUUUGUUCCUUGCUUUUGUUUCUCUCGGUAGAAUCAACAAAUUUUAGUUGCUACAAUGUAUUUUCCUCCCGUUCGAUGGUUGUAUAUAAAUGUUUAUUUCUCUAUUUAUAAUUUA